GGGGGUUUACGACGCCAGUGAUUAGAGUUUGAUCCUGGCUCAGGAUGAACGCUAGCGACAGGCUUAACACAUGCAAGUCGAGGGGCAGCGGGCGAGUGGCAACACUUGCUGUCGGCGACCGGCGCACUGGUGAGUAACACGUAUGCAACCUGCCCCCUUCUGGGAGAUAACCCAUAGAAAUGUGGCCUAAUAUCCCAUAGUCGGCCCAGCCGCAUGGCCGGGCCGGGAAAGGCGAGCCGGAAGGGGAUGGGCAUGCGGCGCAUUAGCUAGUUGGCGGGGCAGAGGCCCACCAAGGCGACGAUGCGUAGGGGUUCUGAGAGGAAGGUCCCCCACAUUGGUACUGAGACACGGACCAAACUCCUACGGGAGGCAGCAGUGAGGAAUAUUGGUCAAUGGGCGGGAGCCUGAACCAGCCAAGUCGCGUGAGGGAGGAAGGUCCUACGGAUUGUAAACCUCUUUAGCCGGGGAGCAACGUGCGCCACGCGUGGCGCAGUGAGAGUACCCGGAGAAUAAGCAUCGGCUAACUCCGUGCCAGCAGCCGCGGUAAUACGGAGGAUGCGAGCGUUAUCCGGAUUUAUUGGGUUUAAAGGGUGCGCAGGCGGCGCGAAAAGUCAGCGGUCAAAGUUCCGGGCUCAACCCGGUGACGCCGUUGAAACUUUCGGGCUGGAGUUCGUGCGAGGGAGGCGGAAUGCGUUGUGUAGCGGUGAAAUGCAUAGAUAUGACGCAGAACCCCGAUUGCGAAGGCAGCUUUCCAGCACGCGACUGACGCUGAGGCACGAAAGCGUGGGGAGCGAACAGGAUUAGAUACCCUGGUAGUCCACGCGGUAAACGAUGAAUACUAGCCCUGCGGCGCGAAUGAGUGCUGCGGGGCAGAGUGAAAACGUUAAGUAUUCCACCUGGGGAGUACGCCGGCACGGUGAACUCAAAGGAAUUGACGGGGCCCGCACAGCGAGACAUGUGGUUUAUCGAUGAUACGCGAGACUUACCGGGCUCAACGCGGAGACGCGUCGAAACGGCGUUCCUUCGGCUGCGCGAGUGCUGCAUGUGUCGUCAGCUCUGCCGUGAGGUGUCGCUAUGCAUAACAGCGCACCCAUCUCAUUGCAGCGGCAGCGCCUCUGAAGACUGCCAGCCAGCUGUAGAAGGCGGAUACUCAUCACAGUCUUACGUCAGGGCGCACACGGUUCCUAAUUGGCAAGGUUCAAAAGGUGA
rnacentral:rRNA from 1 species